rnacentral:misc_RNA from 1 species
GAUGGAGUGGGACCAGAGCUCUUAUCCUAUGUCCAGGAAAUAUUCAGAUAUGCUGGAGUGCCUGUUGACUUUGAGGAGUUAGAGAUAAAUGGUAGUACUACUGAUGAAGAAACACUCUGCAGUGCUCUUCUCUCAGUCCAACGCAAUGGGAUAGCCCUGAAAGGAAAUAUUGAAAGUAAAUUCGAUGAACCAGGAUUCAAAUCUAUGAAUGUUGAAUUACGCACACAGUUGGAGCUGUUUGCCAGUAUUGUUUGGUGCAAGUCCAUCCCCGGGGUGUACACCAGACACCAGGGUCUGGACAUCAUCCUGAUCCGAGAGAACACGGAGGGAGAAUACUCAAACCUGGAAUACCAGAUUGUACCUGGCUGUAUAGAAAAUCUUAAAAUCAUAACAGAAGCAAAGUCUACAAAGAUUGCCAAGUAUGCUUUUGAAUUUGCCAAGACACACGGGAGGAAGAAAGUCACUGCCAUUCACAAAGCAAAUAUCAUGAAAUUAGGAGACGGACUGUUCUUGGAAUCCUGUAGGAAGGUGGCAAGUCAAUACCCAGACAUAGAAUUCAACGACAUGAUCGUGGACAACGCCAGUAUGCAGAUGGUGUCUAAGCCACAGCAGUUUGACGUCCUGGUGAUGCCCAAUCUCUAUGGUAACAUCCUGAGUAACAUCACGGCCGGUUUGGUGGGAGGAUACGGGGUGGUGUCGGGGAUGAACAUCGGAGACGAUUACGCCGUGUUUGAAAUGGGAACAAGAAGUUCUGGUCGGAGUUUGAAGGGGAAGAACAUAGCUAACCCAACGGGGAUGCUACUCGCCAGCUGCGACAUGCUGGACUACAUCGGAUGCAACAAGCAUGCGGAGUUGAUCCGUGAUUCUGUUAUGAAGGUGAUGUCUGUGGAUAAGGUUCAGACCCCAGACCUGGGGGGUCAGGCUACCACCCUAGAAGUCAUCCAGGCCAUCAUUGAGGACAUUAAGCCAAAGACGACAAGCUGGCUGCAUGCGUAGACCUAUAGAGAUGGCAAAAAGAUGGCAGACGUUCAAGGAAUGAAGCAUCAAGGAGAGAAACAAAUAUAAAGAUGUAGAGAAAAUAACAAGAAAUCUAGUUGAAAAUUUUCCCCUCGAACAUUUAUUUAUUGAGCCCUAAUAGUACAAUUGUACAUGUAUGUGUAUUGUGUACAUAUUGUGUACGUGUAACGCGUUCUCGGUUUUGACUUUUUAAUGUGUGUACAUACAUUUUAUGUAAUAGUUUCAUGCCUUUAUUUGUUACAUGUUAGCAUAUUACAGUGUUAGAUAAUUGUGUUGUGUCCGGAGAUUAAAUCUAAUAUUGACAGU